ACGAAAUGGCGCUAGUACCAAAAGGCCCAUCGAGUUUCCCCUCAGCUGGAAUCAAAGACGAGGCAGCGAGAGAUACCUCGAGACUCGCCGCAGCGGUGCU